rnacentral:miRNA from 14 species
GGUGGCAGGGCCAACAACCAGCGCAGACCGGCAUGGCCCGGCAUCUCUGGCGAGUAUCUCUUUGAGCGCCUCACCCUUAAGCAGGACUAGUCCUCUGCCCCUCC